CCAGACUUCAGUGGAGUCUGGGAUAUACAGGAUGGCAGGUUAUCCAUUUCUGUUUCCAUCCCUGGACCCCAUGAGGAAGGGAGUUAAGCACCUCCUCUCAUUACUCUACCAUGUGAAGGAUGUAUUUUGUGAAUCUGAGCCCUGUGUGCUUCAAAUGUAACCACUGAUAAAUUUGGAAGGGAGAAAUUGCAGAGGGGUUUUGUUGUCAGGAGGGCGUUAAUCAAGACCAAAAAC